GUGUUGUAUGAAAGGAGAGAAUGUUGGCACUCCCCUUGAUAAGGAUGGAAGAGACUCUCGGACCUAACAAUAUGCAUACGGUUAAGGCAUUGCCACCUACUUUGUGGCAUCUAACCACUCUUGGGC
rnacentral:ncRNA from 2 species